rnacentral:lncRNA from 1 species
AUCACAAUCACCAGGACAGGCUGACCCUAGUGCAGCUAAGAGCUUACCCCCAAAUCCCACAGUGAGAAACUGGCUGAUGAAUGUGCCUACAACUACAGAGCAGAGGAUGGGAUUGUGAUAGAUGCCCACAAAGAUGUUCUUCUCUCCUGGAUCUUUUGGGAGUUGGUUUCAUUGAAGACCUGCAUCCGCCUGAAGUUGUUGCAAAAUGUGUUAUGGCAUUGGCUGGAUGGUGGAUGAAGAGGCCCUUUCCUCUCACUAUCAGUAUCAAAGAACUUCUCACCAGCAAAAACAAGGAUAAAGGUGACAGUGAACUGACAGCCUGCAUAGCCCAAGAUGUUCACCAUAAUAUGUUAGAUCAGAAGCUUAUUUCAGCCAUAGAGCAAAUCCCCAGCCUCCCACAGGUGAUGUGUUUGUUCAGCUGUAAUGUGGUCACAGUUCUGUUAAGUAGGGGCCACUGAGUGAGCCCACAGGGUCACUGGGAGUGUGACAGGCAACAAGGAGAACACCCCGAUGUAUAGUCCUGGAGACACAGGUAAGUGUGACACAUUUAGUACAAAGAGGAACCAUUAGCUGUGACUGGGGCUGGAGGAUGUGGGUGAUAAGUGGAGAGGGGCUCAAGGGGCAGGGCCCCAGUGCCCCACAGAAGGAGCUGGCC